CAGGGAUCUGAUUUGUGGAAAGAUAGAGAUCGGUUUAAAAGGUUUUCAUAUGCAUCCUUGGAACUUUGUAAGGUUUACACGGAAAUUUCUUCCUCUUCUGGUAGCCGUCGAGAACUCUUUGCUGCUGAGAUGCACCUGAAGAACGUACUUAAACAAGUAAAACACCUUAUAAUUUGAUAUUUAGGACACUUACAGUUGGUUUAAAGAUUGCAUUUUCCGUUUCUGUUUUUGACUGGUUCAGGGUAAAACUUUUUCCCACUGUGUUAGAGUGCAUUUCUGUUAUUAUAUAGUUUCUUAGAAGAGAAUGCGCUUUUUGGAAUCUCAGGCUGAAGGAUUUGCUGACAUGGAAGAGUUCAGGGAUCUUCAAGCUUGCCUUGAUGAAGUGAAGACGAAACUCCAAUCUGGUCCCGUGGCUACCUAAGUAUCAGGAACGUGCUAUUUUUGAAUAUCAGGAAUGUGCUAUUAUUUUAGUUCGUACUGUAGUUGAGACCUUAACCAUGACUGAAUAUCUUGUAUUGCUGUACCACCUUUUCUGUAACAAAACAGUCUAGUUUUAGUAUUUUUAUUAUUUUUGUAUUUUCAGUGCUGUAACUAAUCUCAUUUGACAAUGUAAAUAUAUGGCUUCAAGUUAUUUAAAUGUAAAAUCAAGUGUUGUUUUCAACCUCUGUUCUUUUAUGUAUAGCUUACAUGCCGUGAUUUCAUUAACCUCAAUUUAAGGACAAUUUCAUAUCUUUUUUCUUUCUGCUUUUCUUUUAUCAUUUAAGAACAAAUAUGAAUAUAUUUCAGACAGCAUUUAAACAAAGCAACCGAACGUCGCUGGUUUCUAUUAUUACAUUGACAGCAAUAAAACAAAGAAGCAACUGAAAGUUAUCUUCAUAUGAGAAUGAAAGCUUUUCAGCAGCAUAACACUAUUCAUUUCCAAACGAGUUCCUCAACAUGAGAACAAAUUCGUAGACCUUUUCUGGGUCUGGAAGGAUCCUGGCAACAGUUUCCCUUUGCAUGCACUUGUUCAUCCAAGCGGAGAAUUUGGGGCACUCAUUCGCAUCCUUAAAUCACCCAAAUUUCUCAACCGCGUAAAACCAACAAAUUUCUCAACCCCCAAAUUUGGGACAUCAACGAAUCCAAAGCUAUCCCCGCCAAAGAAAUCCUUCUCCCCUAAAGCUCCCUCUAGUUGCUUCAAUAUCUCUAUAAAUUCAUUCUUUGCCGUCUCCUGUGUUUUAAAAAAUCUAUUGUAAUGGAUCUAUUGUAAAUUUAUCUAACUGCUUGUUAUAAUGCUUCUAUUGCGGUGUUAUUCGAGUUGUCAUUUUCAGUUUUAUUUUAUUUGUUCUUUAAACAUAGUUAAUUUGAAAUGUUCUUUAAUAUCCAUUACACUUGAGAUCAUCAAAUAAGUGAUUCUUGAAUAUAAUUGCUGUUGUUACUCGAAUAAGAAAAGAAAACAAAAAAUAGCUAAGGUAAAAGUAAAUGGAAAUGAGAGCAACGUGAUUUUGCAAAGAGAACUUCACACUAUCAUAAAACCGAAAACAUUACAAUUUAAAGCUUUAAUAACAACACAUCAAAGUCAAAUAACGACCCACUAGAAUCAUGGUCCAAAGAUUGUGCCAUGAUCACAACAUGAACUACAAAAAAAUAACCAACACCAGAAAAGUAGGAACAGUUUGAAACUUUCAACUAAGCAGCAUUUAUGAUUCCACAUCAGCAGCCCUAAACACAUCUUCUAACAAUCGCAACUGCUCAUUUUUGCUUCUGCCAAUAAAGAGUUGAUUGUAACCAAAGAUUGUUGUCUUUAUUGUCAUUUGAGAGUAACAAAUUACUUACGCAGUCACGUAAGUUGUUGGUUGGCCUCGCACAUUUUUGAGAAGUUUGUUUCUGAAGGAAACCAGCUGAGCCGCAACCUCUUCCAUGCUCAUUCGUUCUCUCGGCAACUCUGAAGAGCAAAUGGCUCCGAUUCCCAGUACGGAAACCAAGCACUCUUUACCACUAAAACUUCUGGUCCAUUGUUUGUGAGCAUUGGCGUUGCUUUUCUCCCCUUCUUCUCUUUCUACAAGAAGCACUGGAUCAACAAUUUCAGCGAGUCUUUCAGGAAGAGCUUCCUUGACAAAAUUAUGUAGGGUUAGAUUGCCUGUAAACAUUUCAUUCGUCGGCCUCUUUCCUGUAAACAUUUCCAGCAAGAGUAUUCCAAAACUGUACACAUCUCCACUUGUUGAGACUUCGCUCCCCAUUCCGUACUCUGCAAUUCGAAAACUAAAAUUGUUGGUUCAACUAGUAAAAUCUCAAAGGAUUGAAAGACAAGUUAAUUAAAUAAUAGUAAUUACCUGGAGCAGCAUAACCAACGGUUCCUUUUACUCCAACAGAGCUUGAUUGAUUAGAUGACAAGUUAUUGGUGGCUUCCGGAAGGAAUUUUGCUAAUCCAAAAUCACCUACAUGGGCAGUCAAUUCACUAUCCAGAAGAACAUUGCUUGGCUUGAGAUCACAAUGGACUAUUGGAGUUUCGCAAUAAUGAUGAAGAUAAUCCAAUGCAGAAGCAACAUCAACGGCAAUACUCAGUCUUUGCAGGAGAUUUAGAUUCUUAAGUGCCUCACGGUUUGGAUGCAACCAUUCCUCCAGGCUUCCGUUAACCAUGAACUCAUAAACUAAAGCCUCGAAAUCAUUUCCUUGGAAGUCAACACUUGCACAGGAAGUUAUUAUUUUGACGAGAUUCCGAUGCCUAAUAUUUCUCAAGGCCUGACACUCCGCUAUGAAACUCUUUGAAGCUCCUCGAUGUUGAAGAUUAAGCACCUUAACUGCCACCAGCGUUUCAUGAUCAUCAUGAUUGAGGACUCCUUUAUAGACCGAACCAAAGCUACCGGCACCAAUCAAGUUUUCCAAAGAGAACCCGUCAGUUGCUUUGAACAGAUUCUCAUAGGACACUCGUAAAACCGAAGCCAAGAGAGCUGAUGGAGGAGUGGCCGGCUUCCUUUUUGAUUUGCCCCGCCAGGAAGUAAUUAUCAAACACGACAUCCCUGUUACUAACAAAAUUCCUGUAACAACAGGAAUAAUCAGUUUCAGGAAACGGGAACGUGAUUGCAUUGAUUCUUUGAUGGAACAAGUAGAUAAAUGCAACUCAGAUAUGCCACCACAGAGGUUAUCAUUUCCGUCAAGAGAUAUAGCACUCGAAUUGCUGAAGACUCCUUUUAUUGGUACUUCACCCUCAAAAUGAUUAAAAGACAGAUUUAAAUUCUGCAAAAAGGGAAAGUUUUCCAGAUAUUUUGGAAUUCGGCCAGACAAAUUGUUCCUCGAAAGAUCAAGAUUCUCAAUGCCUCUCAAAGAACUGAAUGAUGAAGGGAUAUUCCCUUGAAAGAAAUUACCAUUCAUGAUGAGUUGUACCAACAUAAUGCAACUUCCUAUACUGCUUGGAAUUUCACCAGACAAUUUGUUCUCCGAUAUGUCUAUAAAACCCAGAUUUUUCAAGAUACCAAAAUUAGAGGGCAAAGGACCAUUCAAAUGGUUUUGAGAUAGAUCAAGAUAGAUUGACAAGGAAGAGAGGCCAAUCACUUCAGUGGGUAUGGUACCACUGAGGUUGUUAUUGGAGAGAUCUAAUAAUAUCAAGUUUUGGCAUUUCCCUAGACUUGAUGGAAUGUUUCCCUCUAACAUGUUUUCCGCAAAAUCUAGUAUAGCUAACGAUGUCAAAUUUCCUAUAGAAGAUGGAAUUUCCCCCCAAAACUUGUUCCCCAGAAGCCACAACGUCUGCAGCUUAUGAAGAUCUCCUAUACUUCCCGGAAUUCGGCCUGUGAAUUGGUUGCCCCCAAGGUGUAAAAGCUCUAAGUUAACAAGAUUUCUUAAUCGAUUUGGGAAAUUUCCGAACAACUGAUUGUUUCCAACUAUUAAUAUUCUAAGUCGGGUUGACAAGUUCCCCACAGCUUCAGGUAACAUUCCACCAAAAUUGUUGUCACUAAUUUGCAGUAGCUCUAGUCUGGAAGCGUUGACCAAAGAAUUGACAAAUUCCAAGUCAUCCUUUUUCCCAUUUCCUAAGUGAUUCAGAUAAAAACUAACCCAUUGGAGUUUAUGUAAAUUUUCCAAACUAGGCACCUUUCCACUGAAUCCAUUCAUUGGGAUUGUAAGUCUCAUUAGAUUUGAGGCAUUGGAUAUUGAAGCAGGAAUAGGCCCAGUAAACUGAUUACCACCAACGUUUAAUCGUUCAAGAUUAGGCAGAGUGAAGCCUAAGUCUGAUGGAAGGCUUCCUUGAAGUUGGUUAUGAGGGAAAUCCAAAUAAUUAAGCGAAGACAAGUUGUAGAUUGAGAAAGGGAUUUCACCUGAUAGCUUAUUUACUCCCAAUAAUAUAUCACGCAUCCUCUUUAGCUGACCCAGUGUUUCAGGAAUUUGUCCCACAAAUUGAUUUGCAGCUGCUGAGAGGACCUCGAGUGAUGACAAAUUGCCCAAGGAAGAUGGGAUUUCUCCCGAAAAAUUGUUGUAGUGUACUGUGAGCAUCCGGAGCUUUGAUAUGGAGCCUAGUAACCCAGGAACUUUCCCCACAAGCUCAUUGACGCCUAACCUGAGGGAUUCAAGGUUAACGCAAUGCGAUAUGUUGUCAGGAAUUUGACCUCCGAAUGUAUUGUUGUUCAGCUCCAAAAUUCGUAACCUGAACAGAUAUCCAAUCUCUUGAGGGAUUUCGUUGCGGAAGCUAUUGUUUUUGAGAUCUAACACUCUGAGAAAACUCAAAUUACCAAUGUGAGGCGACAGAGACCCCUGCAAGAGUAAAGAUGGAAGACGUAAUCCAGUCACCCUUUGGUGCCGUCGACUGCAAGUGACACCUUUCCAUUGACAAAAGUGCCUGGAAUAGUUCCAUGAUCUCAAAACCUCAAGAGGGUCAUGAGUAACUUUGGCCUUGAAUUGAAGCAAUGCAAGUUGAUCAGUUUCAUUGCUUUUGAGCAUAUAAUCGGUUGAUUGCAAGCUGAAGCUGAAGCAACAUAAAAUAAAGAAACAAAUGCUUACAAUGAUUGAACUCAUCAUGUUUACAAAAUUCAUUUAACUGCCGAAGGAAAUUAAAAUGAUAAAACUUUUAUAGAGGUUUGUAAGAUAAAAUAUGUUUGUAUAUAUUUUGCAAUGAUUUAUGGACUCUGUCUUUGAUGCUCAAAUGUGAACCAGGUGGCACCGUGACAGUGAAACUAAUACUUUUUCUUUUUCUAAUAAUAUUAAUUAUCAUAUUUAUUACUAUUGUAAGAAUAAUAUACUGCAGCUUUAAAGAAAGACUCACCAUACUCUCUUUUGAGUUUAAUCACCAAUAUUGAAAAGGAAAAAAAAAGUAGGGCAAGAGAAAGGUAAAUACGAUGGGUGGAGUGUUAAGACUACUGUUAAAUGAGUUGGGAAACGUUCAAAGCACGAUGGGAAUUAAAGAUUCACAACACCUUUUUUCUAAAAUUUUCAAUACAGUCUCCCCCAAAAUUUGCUAGUGCAACAAAGAGACGUCGCGCCGUUAACAAUUUUAAACUGUAAAUGACAUGUCGUUUUCACAGAAUUCGUUUAACUGCCGGAGGAAAUUGAAAUUAUAAACUUUUAUAAAGGUUGGUAAGAAAAAAUAUACUUGCACAUAUUUUUUUUUCAAUGAUUUAUGGACGCUGUACUUGAUGCUGAAAUGUGAACCGGCUGGCACCGGGACAGUGAAAUUAAUGCUUUUUGUUUUUCUAAUAAUAUUAAUUAUCCUUUUCCUUUAAGGAAGACCCGCCACACUCACUUUUGACGCUCUAUCAGUUUCCAGCAUGUUGUCGUUUUGUAUUUUAGUGCAUUAAAGAAAUCCACAAUGAAUAUAAAAUAAUUUAAUCAACAGUAUUAGAAAAAGAAAAAAAGUAGGAUAAGAAAGUUAAGUAUGAUGGAUGGAGUUUCACAUUUCUGUUAAAUGACUUAGGAAAUGUUUAAAGCACCACAGGAAUCAACGUUUCACACGCUUUUUAGAUUUUUUUUCUAAAAGGAAAAAGAUAUUCUCACGAAAGAAAGUACAAAAUUUCACACAAAACGGUGCAUUUAAAUAAAGUAAAAUUGCAAAAAUACUCAAAAUAUAUAAGAUUGAUCAUUUACACCCUCCUUGUUUUUUUUGGGUGAACUAUUUCUGGAAAAUGGGCAGAGCCUAGUUUUGGUUCAAAAUUUGAAAUAACAAAUGGUAUAUUGGUGGAAAACCAACGACAUAUUUUCUAAUGCUUAACCUAAAUGGGAAUUAUAUCGGUUUGUACUGUCAAUAUAACAAACAACUAACUAAAUUAUUUAGAAGUCAUGAAUAAAAAUGGAUAGAACAAGAAGUAUAUUGCUAUUCGAUGCAAGAUGUUGGAUUAUUAAACCAUAAUAAAAUAAUAUAACUACACAUGUGCAAUGUUAUUCACUAAAAAGAUUUAAUUUAGAUAUUAAACAGUUAGUGCAACUGUAUCGAUCUCAUCCUCAUUAAUUUAGAGUUUGAGAACUCAUAAUAAAAGAAAAUAGAAAUUUAAACAUAGAUCCUAUCCUAUUAAGUAGAAUCAGAAAAGAAGUUUAUAGAAAUAAUUUUUCACGGAAGCAAUGAAAUAUUAAUCCGGUUGAUGGAUAUAUUGGUGAACACAUAAUAGAAUAUUAUAAUAGAUUUUUAUCUAUCAAGCAAAGGGAAGAAUAUAAUUGGAAUAACAAAAGAAUUAGAAGUAAAUAGUAAUAUGCUAAUAGGAUAUAAAGGAUUAUUAUUAAUUAUCGUAUUUGUGUAUAUAUAUAUAUAUUUUAAAUGAUUUAGGGACUCUGUACUUGAUGCUGAAAUGUGAACCGGCUGGCACCGGGACAGUGAAACGAGUACUUUUUUUAUUAUUACACGGCCUGUCGUUUUCAAAGAAAAAUUUUAUCAUGGUAUUCUUAUCCCCUAGCUGCCGUUUGUCGUUUGGAAUUUCUCUGUAUAAGAUUUUAAAGCAGCAAAAAUUUCGCCAUCUCGCGCCGGGGGGGUGGGGUGGGGGGAAGAUGAUGAUUCCGUGGAAUAUUAUCUUCGACUUAUCUGCUAUAAUCAGUGCUAACCGAUUUUGACACAUUUGCAGUAACGGAAGGGUUACAAUUACACGAGAUUGACACGAGGUAAUUAGCUAGUCAAGUCUCCGUGGGAAAAUUGUAAGCACUCAAGACUUAAAAAAGACUUUAUAAAGUAAGGCGUAUUAUGGAUGGUGUGGUUUGAUUCUCACUUGCAUCAAUUGUUCUUUUCAUUUUUCAUUGGAGGAAAGGAAAUUCAAGAGCCUGGUGUAUCUAGCAAAUUUUGUAACACGUUCUUGUAAGAUAAAAUAAAUAAAUAAAUAUAUCGGAUCCUAUUUCAUAGUUUAGUUAUAGGGUUAUUCGGAUGUCUGAAUUCAAAACAAGUUAAGUUUAAUCUCUAAAUAAUUUUGAGGAAAUCUUUCUACAAGGAGAGUUUGAAAUCAAUCACUACCCAUGUGUCAUUGGUCAGAUAAAUAGGUUAAGAACUCUAAUCCUAUCCCGACACAAAAAAAAAUCGUAUCGACUCGGACCUAGUCCAUUUUAAAUAACGGUUUAUUUAAAAUAAUUAUUUUUAUAAUAAUAAUUACUACUAUUAGUUGUCCUAUUAUUAUUAUUAACAAUAAUUAUUUUAAAUAAAAAUUGUAAUUAUUAUAAUAAAUGAUGACAAUAAUCAACUAAGAUUAUUUUGGUAUUGUAAUAAUCAAUUCCAAUUCCAAUAAAAAUUAGAUACAUUAGUGACAAUAUAAAUUAGGGUAGGGGUGGGCAAAUUCGGUUUGGAUCGGUUUGGGACAUAUCCUCAAACCGAUCCAAACUAAUCGGUUUGAAAUAUUUUCAAACCGAUAUCAACCUAAAAUUUUUUUAAACCGAACUGAUCCAAACCGAUUGGAUCGGUUUGGAUCCGGUUUGAACUUAUUAGCUAAAAUUUCACUUCUUUUAUAUUAUUUUACCUAAAUUAUUUGUUAUUUUUUUGUGUCCGCAAUCUAAAUUGAUACCUCUUUUAUAUUAUUCAUAUCUACUUUGAUAUCUACAUAACAAUUCAAAGAUACAUCCAUACAAGUUUACAGCAUAAUACAUCCUAAUAAACAAGUUCUUAACCUGUUCAUUCAAAACAAACUCACAAAAUUAAAAUAAACUUAAACCACACUUGACAAUUAAAAUAUUGUGCAUCUUGUCCGUCAAAAUUUAUAGUCCAAUUACUUUUGAUUUGUUAAAAUCUGCAUAAAAUGAUAAAUAUAAUUAUUUAGAUUGAUUAACUUAAAAUAUAAUGUAAUUAUAUAAUAUUUCUGGAUUGGAUCGGUUUGAAUCGGUUUGGAAUCCUUCCAAACCGAGUGAUGUCGGUUUGCAAUCCAAUAAACUGAAACCAGUUUUUUUACUAAUGAAACCGAUCCAAACCGAUCCAAAAGGUCGGUUUGGAUCGGUUCGGUUAAAAUAUGCCCACCCCUAAAUUAGGGGUUAUUUUUAGAAACCUCCCCUGAAGUUUAGUGUAUUGACAGUCGGAUAGAAAGUAUUCAUAUAAUUACAGGGACCUCCCCUGACGUUAGUAUUCCGCUAAGUGGACUGUCAGUUGACUAUUGAAAUUCCAAAAAUGCCCUUGCCGCAAAAAUAUAUUUUUAACAUAGAGGAGGUUGCGCUCUGAUCCUUUGUUCUGAAUUCAUUUUUUAUCCUUUGUUCUUAGUCACGGUAUAUAAGCCCCAUCCUUACCAAACAAAAUUUUAGAUCAAACAUGCUUAAAGAAAAUGGAUAAUGCAACAUCUAAAAUAAUUUUAAAACACAAAACAACAAAUACUCCACAUUUCAAAGUAAUAAAAAAAUAAAUAAUCGUAGUGCAAAUAGAUUAAACCUGAGCAGAUUUAUAGGCAUUAAGAGUAUUCUCAACGGCGACUUUCCUCUCAUCGCCAGUCUUAAACUCAGCCAAGUUAAGCAAACUCAUGUCGAAACCAAAAUUAGAAUUUAGAAAGGAAAAAAACAGAAUUGAGAAUCAAUUUAUUUUUUGGGAGCACGUGAGUGAUGAGUUUUGGAAUCUAAAAUGAUAUCAAGUUAUGAAGUAUUUUUGGUGUAAACGCAACAGCCAUGAGAGGAGAGUGACGAGAAACUUCCAAAAAGAGGUGAAAAAAAAAACAGAAGAGAAAAAGGCCAAAAGGAAAAAGACUCAAAAAAACAAAAACAGAGAGGAGACGCAAGGGCAAUCAAGCAAGCAGACAAACAAUUUAAAACCUGAGCAGAUAAUCACCCUUCAUCUUCAAAUAAAACACCUUGGAAUCGGCAGCGGCAGCGGUGGGAACCAAUUUCUGGUCCAAUAAUUUCAAGAUCCCGCCACAGGAUCUCCAUCAACUCGGCUUCGAUCUUCGAUCUGUACUCCUUAAUCACGGAGACAUGGUCUUGGUUGCCGUGCGACUCGUCCUUCUGCUCGAUGGAGGACACGAUGCACCAAGAGGCGCGCCGUGCGCCGAUGACGUUCUUGUAGGCGACGGAGAGGAGGUUCCUCGCUGGUCGAGGCAGAGACGACGACUUUUUCCAUGUAUUGGACCAUCUCCUCGUACCACUCGGCUUGCUCCGCAAGUUUUUCCAUGUAUACGUUUUCUUCCCGUGGAGAAGGGGCUGCCAUUGUUCCGUUCAGUUAUCUUUGUGUUUGUUUGAAUUUUGUUUUUGUUUAAAUUUUAAAUUUAUUUUUACGUAUUUACCCUUUAUAAUAACGUUAUACGUAUUUUUGUAUUAACGUUAGGGGAGGUCUUUGUAAUUACAUGAAUAUUUUCUAUCCGACUGUUAAUACACUAAACCUCAGGGGAGGUCCCUAAAAAUAACCCUAUAAAUUAUUACAGCUAAAAUAAAUAAUUUAUAAUAAUUCUAAUUCUUUAUUUCAAUUCUAUUUUGAUUCUAUCUUAUUCCGAUUACUGAUUGGUAAGCAUACCACUAAACGAAAUGAAACUGUCCAUACACAAUAAAAUCUCUUUAAUUGAUCAUCUAGCCCAGCUAAAAUCAACGGUCCCGAAAGAAACAAUUUCGGAACUACUCAAGCCUGCAAAUCUUGCACUGUCGUAGUAAGUUACAGGAAUUUGAUUGGACGAUGUAAUAAAGAUGAAGGAUAAGAUCGCCAUUCGCCAAUCAAUUUUCUGUCCGCAUCAAGCAAAUAGGCCAUCUGUGAGGCGCAAAAUGAGUUAAAAAGAUGGAUAAUUUUGGAAUCCAUUAAUCCACAAUGAACAUAAAACAAUUUAAUCAACAGUAUUAGGAAAGAAAAGAAAAGUAGGAGAAGAAAGUUAAGUAUGAUGGAUGGAGGUUCAGAUUACUGUUAAAUGACUUAGGAAAGGCUUAAAGCACCACAGGAAUCAACGUUUCACAAAGCUUUUUUCCCUUUCUGAAAUAUUCGGUGCAGUCUCCCCCAGAUUUUGCCAGUGCAACCAAGAGACGUCAUGCCGUUAUCAAUUAUAAACUGUAAAUGACAUGUUGUUUUUACAAGACAUAUUAUGCGUCGAUACAUACCUAUGAAUGGGUUCAAGAAAUUCAGCAGGUUGCGAAACAAUAAGAUUCAUUCAAUCCGCGUAGAUAUCUGACUGACUGAAAUUAAAUAAACGAUGAUGAUAAGAAAUUUGAAAUCAACAAAUCUCGGCACAUCUAUUCUGCAGUUUGGCCGUACUUCAAAUAACCUUGCGAUAAAAAUUUCAUAAAAAAUCUCAGAAAGAGGACAGAACAACCAAGGCAUCAGCGAAAGCAAUCGAGGCAGGGCACGCUCAAGCCACGAAUUAGAGGAAUUUUAAAUAUCAAAACCUGCUCAGAAUAAUAAGAAAUAAAAUGAAACUACAAAAGGCUCAGAUUUUUGGAUGAGUGAAGGGAAGAUGAGAAGAUGAAAUGCAGAAAGUCAAGAAAUGAAUAAACCAAUAUUAAUAAUCUUGGACCCACAGCUCUAAUUUGGAUUAAGCAUCCAUCUACCUAUGUGGAUAAUAUUUUUGCUAACUUUUCAGCCAUGCAGCAGGAUCAUGUUCGUCCUGUUUUAUUUGAUAGAAGGAAUUUUCCCCUGGAAGAAAAUGAUGAGUCGUUUCAACGUCAUGCAACUGCCUAGACUGCAUGGAAUUUCACCAGACAAUGACAAUUUAUUCUCAGAUAUAUCUAACGCCCCCACAUUUGCCAAAUUUGAAGGCGUCCGUUUUGAGACUGAUAAAAACGUUUUCCAAAAAUUCGGGAUUCAGGUCGAUCAGACCGGUUAUGUUUUGCAAAACUUGUAAAUUUUCAGUGAUCAAAAUUCAAAACUUUGCAAAUAGGUCAAAAUAUGAAAAAUACUUGAUAUAUUAUUGAAUACUCAUUUUGUUUUGCAUUAAUAUACGGCUGUGGGUGCUAUCUAGUUCUAUUAGUAAAAUUCCUUGGGUUGAAAACAAGAAAACUAGCAUUUGAAACUCACCCAUAUGGAUGGGAAAGAAAUUUAGUUACCAUUGGAUUAAAAAAUAAUAAUAACAAUUAGAAAAAAAUUGUAAGGCUUCGACAAGAUUUGCUAAUCAUGUAUAGAUUAAUAUGAAGAUUAAGAACAUCACCUAAGCCAAUUAUUGAAAUUGAAAUUUUAGGAGAAAAAUUUAUGUGGGUUUGGCCACCAAUUUAGCAUUAGGAACUUAUUGUUUAGGAAGCUAUGGUGGGUUUCGUAGUGGGACUUAUCCUCUUUAAUGCAUAUGGUGAUUUUAAACCAACAUUUAUAUAAUCCCAUUAUAAAACUCAUCAAACCUUCUAAAAUAACUCGUUGAGAUAGUGUGCUAGAUCCAUAUAAAUAUUUCUCCAACUUCUUAGCUUGAAGCGAUAUUCAUUUCCAUUGAUAGUUUAAUGGGCAAAGCCUUUUGAAUUCUCCAGGUUAUCAAGUUAUUUUUUGCUGGAAAAUGCAAUCCGGAUAUGAAUAGAUUUUUUUGUGCAAUCAAAUUUUCUAUGUUGACGCAUCCUCUAGAACUUUCAGUAAAUUUUAUGGAGAAGCUUUAAUUUCUUAGUUGUUGAUUUCGAAUAAAAAAUUAAACUUAACUUUAAAAUUACAGUUGUAAUUAUAAAAUAUUUACUGAAUACAUUAGUGUUAAUACUACAAAUUGUUCCAUUAAAAGUCUCUCAAAAAGGAAGAAGUGACUUAAAAAAUUAAAAGAAUGCAGGAGCUGAAGUUGGCAAUUUUGUAAAUUGCAAUGGCAAUUGUGGGCUAGUAAAAUCCCUCAAUGAGUCACAGCACUAGCAAUUUCGUAAUAUACAUUAGUGGCAAUUUUGUAAAAUUGAAGUUGUGAUAGUUUUGCAAAUAAAAGUAAAAGCUUUUUGCCUAAAUUCGGCUGAGCUAAAAGCCAGCUUAGCCCACACUCUCCUUCGCCACCGGUUGACGAGCUCUUCCUUCAAUUUUUGAACUUGAAGUGAUGCCCCAUCGAUGUCCAGAAUUUUUAAAGUCAGAAUGAUGAUCCUAAUGAUUCUUUUUAGAUAGUCACCUGUACGUUGACGUGUUUAAUUGAUGUUUAUUUAAGCAGAAAUUGAAGUUUGAUCCCUGAUUAAUUAGAUGAGAACACACAUUCAUGAGUAAAUACUUAAAAUUAAAUUAAUCAAAAUAGUAUAAAUACAGGAGAAAAUCGAUCAUAUGCGUGCAGACAUCACAAUCGAAUUAUAUAUAUCACCGCCGCACAUAAAUUUGAUUCCCAUGAUAUGUGAUUAAUUAAUUAAUUUUUUUAAUAACAAUUAAAUUGUAAUGUCAAUUGUCCACAUAAGUUUUUUGUUUUUGUUGAUGAAAGUUAGUAAUUUUUUUCCAUCUUUUUAAAUAAAAGUUGUUAAUAAAUAUCAAGAAAAUAUUGGGACUUGAGAUCAGGGUCUACUUAAGUUAGAAUUUUUUAUUAGAAAAGCUAUAGCCAGCGAUGAAAAAUAAAGAAGUAACACAAGAUAAAGAGUAAAAUGAGAGAGCAUAUAUUAUAAAAAGAUUUUACCCAUUUCAAGUGUGCACCAAACAAAGAGACGAACUCUCAUUUUAUAGUUACAUAAUUAUUACAUGAAAUUAAUAAAAAUAUUAAGAAUUAUAAUUCCUUGCGAGAUAGUGGGAGUUAUAGAAAAGUCAAGAGUUGUUAGUGGAAGAUAGCAAGAAGAGUAAAAAAUAUAUGUUAUGAACAUUCACAUUUAUUUUAAUAAAUUUACAGUAUUUUUUUCGUUAAAUAAUAGGGUGUGGAGAACAAUUGGAAGGACUUUACGUGUGUUUAUAUAUUGACAUAAAAAUUGCAGGACGUGUAGUUUAGCGUUUCUUGGUUGUUCAGUGCUAGUUUUCUAAAUCUCGAGCGUGCGGGUUAUUUUUCGUUACCUUUAUCACCGAAAGGCUGUUUUAACCAACUAAGAACUAAAAGCUAAAACCCAAAACCCCCCUCUUGUUCUUUUCCAGGGACUUUACCUUGUCCUUGAUGGCCGAAAAGCAACUGGAAAUCCUCCGCGGGUACGAGCUGCGGCUCUUGCGCUGCACCCUCGCUCCCCCACCGUCCGAUCUUCGCAUUCAAUCGCAACCGUUGAACGAAGAAAGCCAAUGCUCUAUCCUUCCACUCCACGAGCACAUCAACAGCCUCAUCAACUCCAUCGAGUCCGGCCACUAUCUCCAGGCUCUGUCCUCCGACGAGGCUAAACACGCUCUCGACACGCUCGAUUUCGUCGACAUCAACGACUCAGCCGAGUGUGCCGACCGCGUCUACUCCGAGCUGCUCCAGCUUGUCGAAGCGUCUAUAGUGAACGAUUCCGAAAUUGACGUGGAUAAGGCUUGUCGAGUUAUUCUGCUCAUGUGUCUUUCAAUUGCUGCCCUUUUUUGGUUCACUCAGUGUAACGUGACUGGGUGAGUUUCUUAUUUAUAAAUUUUUAAAUAAUUGCAAUUAAUUAAUAAUAAAUAUUAGUAAAAAAUUAAUCAAAAAAAAGGUUUAGUGAUGAACCUUGUCGAGGUGCCUUCUAAUAGAAAAGAGCUCACGGCAAGAUGAAAUGCAAAGUAAGUUGUUUUAUGGUUGGGCGGUGUGUAGCCGUCUUGUUGAAGGCCAUAAGAUGUUAAGCAUAUUGCUGUUUAAUUUUUAAAUCAUUCUCAGUAAUAAUUCCUUUAGUAGAUUGAUGAUAAGAGAUUGCAUUGCAGAUGAUAACUGAGCACAAUUUCUGUAGUUGUAUCCCUGUACAUCCAUCUUAAUAUCCUCAUUAUAUUCACAUGCCUUUUACGGGUGUUAUUUCUGGAUGCAGAAUGCUUUGUUCCACGUCUGGAUACCAAAUGCUUUGUUCCACAAAGCUGAGCUGGUUGAAAAGCUAGCUGAUGAGGUCAACAUGUCCCUUAAGUAAUUUGAGGAUGAACACUGUGUUCCCGAAAGUCUUACUCUAAUGAUACUUAAAGAAGCAAUGAGAAUGGAUGUUGCAGCAGCUUUGCUGAACUCAACCCCAGUUCCAAAAAUGGAACAUGUGAAAAUGCAUUGUUUUUUUUUUUUUUUUUCUCUCUCUUUAUGACUUCUUUGGUUGGGAAUGUAUUAGAUAUUCACCUAAUCAGUAGGCCUUGAAGGGAUCCCAUGUUAGCCCCUUGAUGUUGGUCUGUAACUAAGUAAAUACUUGACCUUGAAAAAGCUUUUGGAGGCAUCAGUUCUCUCUGACUGUGUGCUACUUUUUGGAUCUGUUGAUUUGGUCAUUUGCUGAUUUAUAGUUAUUUUUCUGAUUCAGGAUGGGAUAUGGCUCCAUACAUAUAUAGGCAAUUGAUUCACAGCAGUCGUCAUGCUUCAUUGUAAUUAUAUAUACAAUACAGCAUCAGUUUUUCUUGAUUUUAAAUCUCGUAUUCUGAAGUGGUACUUCUGAUUCUCACAUGAUUUUUCCAUCUUUCAGCUAAAGUUUUUCUGUGAUCUCUUCCGUAUUAGAUGGGAGUUCACCCGUAGUCGCACAAAAGGGCGUGCUUUAGAGAUGAUGGACAAACUGGUAUGAUCUGUGAGCCUUUUCUUCUUAAAUAUUUUGUUACCUAAAUCAUUUUCAUUCAAAUUUACAAGAGUUGCCUAUGGAUCUAUAGAAGAUUCCAAACUUUCUGCAGCUAGUAGUUUCUUGGUUUCCGUACUGUCCAUCGGGUAAAGAUUGAAUGUGCAUCAUUUAUAAACUUGUCGGGAUCUUCCUUCUUAGCUUUGAGAUUGCUCCUGCAUAUAGGUAGAACCAAAGGCACAAAUGGUACUUGUUGCAAACACAAGCUCAUCCAACACUUCUGAUGUCUGCCCUUCAAUAAACCAAGUCAUUCAUACACAUGAUUCUACUAUUGGUGAUGCCUCUGAUGUUUUUGUGACCCCAAAAUUAUUGGGGAAUAGUCAUGAAUCUGAAUCUGGAGUCCAAUGCAUUCAUGCUGGUGGCUCAGCAGCCCAUUUAAAGGCAAUCCAACAGGCAGUGAUCUUGUCGAGGUGCCUUCUAAUAGAAAAGAGCUCACGGCAAGAUGAAAUGCAAAGUAAGUUGUUUUAUGGUUGGGCGGUGUGUGGUCCUCUUGUUAAAGGCCAUAAGAUGUUAAGCAUAUUGCUAUUUAAUUUUUAAAUCAUUCUCAGUAAUAAUUCCUUUAGUAGAUUGAUGAUAAGAGAUUACAUUACAGAUGAUAACUGAGCACAAUUUUUGUAGUUGUAUCCCUGUACAUCCAUCUUAAUAUCCUCAUUAUAUUCACAUGCCUUUCACGGGUGUUAUUUCUGGAUGCUGAAUGCUUUGUUCCACUUUUGGAAACCAAAUGCUUUGUUACACAAAGCUGAGCUGGUUGAAAAGCUAGCUGAUGAGGUCAACAUGUCCCUUAAGUAAUUUGAGGAUGAACACUGUGUUCCCGAAAGUCUUACUCUAAUGAUACUUAAAAAAGCAAUGAGAAUGGAUGUUGCAGCGGCUUUACUGAACUCAACCCCAGUUCCAAACAUGGAACAUGUGAAAACCAAAAAUGCAUUGUUUUUUUUCUCUUUAUGACUUCUCUAGUUGGGGAAUGUACUAGAUAUUCACCUAAUCAGUAGGCCUUGAAGGGAUCCCAUGUUAGCCCCUUGAUGUUGGUCUGUAACUAAGUAAAUACUUGACCUUGAAAAAGCUUUUGGAGGCAUCAGUUUCUCUCUGACUGUGUGCUACUUUUUGGAUCUGUUGAUUUGGUCAUUUGCUGAUUUAUAGUUUGUUUUCUGAUUCAGGAUGGGAUAUGGCUCCAUACAUAGAGACAAUAGAUUCACAGCAGUCAUCAUGCUUCAUUGUAAGUAUAUAUACAAUACAGCAUCAGUUUUUCUUGAUUUUAAAUCUCAUAUUCUGAAGUGGUACUUCUGAUUCCCACAUGAUUUUUCCAUUUUUCAGCUAAAGUUUUUCUGUGAUCUCUUACGUAUUAGAUGGGAGUCCACCCGUAGUCGCACAAAAGGGCGUGCUUUAGAGAUGAUGGACAAACUGGUAUGAUCUGUGAGCCUUUUCUUCUUAAAUAUUUUGUUACCUAAACCAUUCUCAUUCAAAUUGACAAGAGUUGCUUAUUUAUCGAUAGAAGAUUCCAAACUUCUGCAGCUAGUACUUUAUUGGACCCAAAAGCUUUUUUGCUUUUUCUAAGCUGCUAAUCAAGACUAGGUUUCUCUCCCUUAUAUCGCUAGAUAUGCCAUUAAUCGUUUGAUUUAAUUGUCUAGAGAGAUUAGAUACUUGCAUCUUUGCUUUUCACUUCACAAGUGAUUUCAUGUGCUAUCCUGUAUUCUGGUUCAAGAUUUUUGAUGGUUGCUUACUAUCAUAUUUUGCUUUGUUUCAGGUUGAGGGCAUUUCUAACUCUUCUCCCGGUGUGACUCAAAGUAUUCCCUUUUGUUAUGUGAUUUGCAUUCCAACUAUUCCUGCCCUGCGAAAGUAAAACUAUUUCUUCUGCAUCUUUGAAUGAUUGUGAUUUAAUUUUCUUGUCAUUUUGCCAACUAUCAUUAUGCUGUCAUUGUUUCAUAUCUUAUUUGACAUAUGUUGAUUUGGAUAGAUUUUAAUUGCUCUGUUUAUUCUCUUUAUAAUCUGUCUAUUUCGAUUUUUCUUCAUUUUAGGGAAUAUGCUAAACUUUUAGUAAGCCGUGGCUUGAUUGGAGAGGCUAUUAAAAAUUUUGAGGAUCUGGUGUUGUGGGAUAGUCUAAUACUGCAAUUGGUAUGAUGUCAUAGAUAACCAUUACCCUAAUCUCUCUGUCUAUCUCUCUCUCUCUCUCUUUCGUGUUGCUAAUGGGAGUUGGUUUUGUGUAUGAUGUAAAAAACAGCCUAUUGGGGAAGAAAGCAGCAGCUGUUGAACUAAUAAAAGCAAGGCUGUCUGAAAAGCCUAAUGACCCUACAUUAUGGUUUGUUGAUGAGCCUUUUCUAUGAUCCAUUUUAUAGUUACUUCUCAUUUCAGUUAAAUCCAUUGUUGAUGUCACUUAUUGCAAUCUAGGGAUGAUUGUUCAUUGGAUGUGAGGAUAUUGUCAGAAGAAAAUGAAACCUUUUAAUUUUAUCUUUUACUUGCUGUAGCCGACUUAAAAGGUCACUGUGCGUUCUUACUGAUUGCUUUUGGUCUUGCAUUUGAGUCAGUGGAUUUUAUACUCAUAUUCUGACAUGUAUUGUUAGCCUUCUGACGGUUCUGCACCUUGGUCCUAUAUUAUCUUCAGCAGUAUUAUCUAAAAGAUCAUUUUUUGCCGAAGAAUAUUUGCAUUCUAAACUAGAAAAGGAGGGGCCGCCCGGGCCCGGGGGGGGGGGGGGGGGUGUGUGUGUGUGAAGGAAGCAUCAGGAGGUUGUUUUCCACUUAUCCUCUUCCCUGCCUGCAUUUUAGAUGAUUCUGAUGCACCAGGUGCCGUGAAAUGGUUGAGAAAUACAUACCAUCAAGUGAAUUCUGAAAAUCAUAUCCUUUUUGAGAAUAUUUGGUGCUAGACAUUUGAAUAUGUGGCCACAAUUUAAACAAUAAAGAUUUUCUGCACUGAUUUCUUAUAAUGGAUAUAUGCAUGUAAUUAUAAUAUGAUAUCUUUUGAUUAUUGACCCAUUUGUUUAGAAAGAAGGGGAAAAAAAAAACAUGGUUGAAAGACAACUGUUACUUGACCUUAUCUUGGUCUGUUCACUGCCGUUUGUUUCCUAUAACUUCUGGUGAUAAUGUAGCCAGAAUGAUGAGUUGAAUUGUGGUUUACUGACUUGUGAUACAUUUUGUAGGUGUUCAUUUUUGUUUUCUAAAUUUGUUAUCUAAAGGAAUGACAAGUUGACAACUCAGCCUCUCUCUCUCUCUCUCUCUCUCUCUCUCUCUGUGUGUCUGUGUCAGGGAUCUGAUUUGUGGAAAGAAAGAGAUCGGUUUGAAAGGUUUUCAUAUGCAUCCUUGGAACUUUGUAAGGUUUACAUGGAAAUUUCUUCCUCUUCUGGUAGCCGUCAAGAACUCUUUGCUGCUGAGAUGCACCUGAAGAACGUACUUAAACAAGUAAAAUACCUUAUAAUUCGAUAUUUAAGACACUUACAGAUGGUAUUACAUUGACAGCAGUAAAACAAAGAAGCAACUGAAAGUUAUCUUCAUAUGAGAAUGAAAGCUUUUCAGCAGCAUAAGCCUUUCACUAUUCAAUUCCAAACACGUUCCUCAACAUGAUAACAAAUUCGUAGACCUUUUCUGGGUCUGGAAGGAUCCUGUAACAGUUUCUCUUUGCAUGCACUUGUUCAUCCAUGCUGAGAAUUUGGGGCACUCAUUCUCAACCUUAAAUCCCCCAAAUUCCUCAACCGCGUAAAACCAUCAAGUCAGUGGAAUGGCAAUCACAUCAACGAAUCCAAAGCUGUCCCCGCCAAAGAAAUCCUUCUCCCCUAAAGCUCCCUCAAGUUGCUUCAAAAUCUCUAUAAAUUCAUUCUUCGCCGGGGACCUCGCCCUUCGUUUUGCAUAUGUUGCAGACUGGAUCGAAUACCUGCCAAAAAAGUGGUGUCAUCUUUUAAGUUCGCAUUUAGAAAGAUACAAACAUUUACACUUGAGAAUUAUAGACUGACCUUCUUGUCAAUAAAAUCUGCCCAGAACCUUGCCUUAGCUCUCUCAGAAGCACAGGAUGGGAGAAGUGAUGGCGAAGGCCAAGUCUCGUCAAUUUAGUUGACUAUAAUAGUGGAUUAACACAAUGGUUCCCCAUCGUGCAGCAAAACUGGGACUUUCUUGUAGAUGGGGUUUGAUUUGAGCAACAGGUCACUCUUGCCCCCGAACAAGUUCUCAGCUCUGGCUUCAUAUCCAACUCCUUUCUCAGCCAAUGCAAUCUUUGCUCUCAAGCAAAAUGGGCUAACCCAACAGUCCAAAAGAACAACCUCUCCCUUUGACAUAUUCAACUAUCAAGGUUGGUAUUUAUAUAGGAGAAAAGAUGAAAUUCCCAAAGAUUGUGUCGCAAUCAAGGUUUGUUCGUUGGCACUUCGAUAAAGGAUGUGGCCUUGUUCUUAUCAUUUCUUAGUUUUUGAAGCUAAAUGUUUUACUUGGCUUUCAACAGGCACAAGAACAAGUUUGUCUUGUGUAAAUAAAAUAAAACCAUAAAAUUCCAUUAUUAGUGUAAAACCAAAAUAAUUAAAAUAAUAAAAGUGAGUUAGUCGUGCGUGUGGACCUCCUCUUUAUGAGUUUGUUAUCACACCAUAUUUGGUUUCUAUAAAUAAAAUAACUAAAACUCUCUUAUCUAAGUAAGAAUAUUGUUAUUUUGAAAUACCAACUCAAUCUCUAACAAAUCUUGAGAUAUAACUUAAGAUUCUUGAGCUUCCAAUAUAAAACAAGUAAGAUUAACAUAACUUUUUCACUUCCUUCCAUCAAAGAAGGGAAUAAGUUAUAUAAUUUAAUUUAUGUUUAAUUAAAUUAUUUUAAAUGGGUAAUAAUUAUAAAUUUUUCCACUUUAUUUAAUUAACUAGAUAAGACCAUAUUGUAAAUUCUUACAUUUAUCACUUUAAUCUCUUUCCUUUUUCAUUCCAACUCCGGUACAAACUAUUCCUUUUCAAAAAGUUGUACUCAAAUUGAUAAGUCUUGGAAGACCAAAACACUAUUUAAAAUUUAUUAUUUGCUUUAGUAGCUUUCAUGGGUGCAAGGUAAGGAACAAAACUCGGUGGAUUUUAUGACAAAAGCUUUAUCUUAUGUAGCACUUUUUUCGAUAUCUCGAACUUUACUCUUUAAGAAUGUUGUAUAAUAUUUCUACAAUAACAACAAACAAAUUAUAACCCUGAAAGAUCUAUAUACACCUCGAUCUCUAGCUAGUUCUCUACAAAAUAUGGCACUAAGUAACAAUGUAAUCGGAGCCAUCAACUUUGUUGCCGUACUUCUUUCAAUCCCAGUCAUCGGUGCCGGAAUCUGGCUUGCCACCGAGGCAGACAAUUCUUGUGUCAAGCUUCUACAAUGGCCAGUCAUUAUUUUGGGAAUCUUGAUUCUAGUCGUGGCUCUAGCAGGCUUUAUUGGAGGAUUUUGGCGCAUCCCUUGGCUCCUUAUACUUUAUCUCGUUGCCAUGCUCAUUCUUAUAAUAUUGCUGGCUUGUCUAGUUGUUUUCAUUUACAUGGUCACGAUUAAGGGCUCAGGUCACCUUGCACCCAGUAGAGCGUACUUGGAAUACCGCCUCGAUGAUUUUUCUGGAUGGCUACGUAGAAGAGUUCGAAGCCCUUACAAAUGGGAUCGGAUCAAAAGCUGUCUCAGCUCGACACAGAUGUGCCCUGAGUUGAACCAUGUAAAAAUGAGUUGCAAAUACUGUUUGGUUACUGAGAAACAGAGAGAAAAUUGAUGAAUAUUCCAGAUCUUAUUAUUUCAUUAAUUACAAAUGAGUAAAUCACAAGUCUUUAUACUUGCAUUUCAUUAGUAAAAGCUAUUAACGAAACUGAUCUGUAUUAACUAACUAAUACUAACUAACUAAUCACGCGAACUCUCAUUGCUGCAUAACAGAAUCAGCUGACUCAGCAUUGUUGACGUGGCAUUGCUGACGCACCUUAGCUUCUGACUUCUUCUCUCUUCUUAGCUCAGCACAAUGAGCUUUCUUCACAGCCCCUCUCAAACUCAAGGGGCAUAAAUGCACAUUGAGUUUGUUCCUCAGAUAAAUGAACUGAGAAGAGUUUAAGGGCUUAGUCAUUAUGUCUGCUAUCUGUUCUGUACUAGGAACAUAUAGAAUCUUAAGAUCUCCAGUUAGAACCUUAUCUCUGAUAAAAUGCAGAUCGAUUUCUAUGUGUUUUGUUCUUGAGUGAAACACUGGAUUAUGAGCAAGAUCUUUGGCACUUACAUUGUCACACCAUAUAACUGGUUUCUCCACACGACAUAGAUUAAUCUCAAGAAACAAAGAUUUUAUCCAUGUUAUCUCUGAAACAGCUGCUGCAAGUGCUCUGUAUUCACUUUCUGCAGAAGAUUUUGUAACUACAGAUUGCUUCUUUGAGGACCAUGAGAUUAAGUUGUUUCCUAGGUACACACAAUAUGCACCAGUGGAUCUUCUGUCAUCAAGAUCACUUCCCCAGUCUGCAUCUGUAAAUGCUGUAACCUUCAGCUCACCUUUCUUAACAAAUUUCAGCCCAUAGUCUUGUGUUUCCUUCAGAUAUCUAAGCACACGUUUGCAUGCCAUAAGAUGUUGAAGUGUUGGUGAAGAUACAUACUGACUUAGCUUAUGAACUGAAUAGGCAAUUUCAGGUCUUGUCAAAACUAAAUACUGAAGACCUCCUACAAUGCUUCUGUAAUGAGAUGGAUCUUCUAUGUAAUAACCCAUUUCCCCUUCUAUAUUCUUCUGCAAUCUGUAAUCUUUGCUGCUGCUCAUUGGUGUAUCUAUUCCUUUACACUCGAGCAUAUCAGCUUUAGCCAGCAAGUCUCUGAUAUACUUCCUUUGUGAUAGAUACAUACGGCCAAGAUCAUACAAAACUUCAAUUCCAAGAAAAUAAGAUAACUUUCCCAGAUCCUUUAAUGCAAAUGCAGAACUGAAUAGCUUGAUAAAAUCUUCCAGCUCAUCACAAUUUGAUCCUGUAAUCAAUAUGUCAUCCACAUAUAUCAGGAUUAAAAUAAUUGAUCUUUUAUUCUUUUUCAAGAACAAAGAUGAGUCAGACUUAGAAUUCUCAAAUCCCCAUUGCACAAGACUGUUUCUCAGCUUGUCAAAACAUGCUCGUGGAGCUUGUUUCAAACCAUAAAGUGCCUUGUGAAGCUUGCACACAAAAUCAGGUCUUUUGGAAUCAAUAAACCCUUCUGGUUGACUCAUAUACACCUCCUCAAUUAAAUCUCCAUUUAAGAAUGCAUUAUUCACAUCAACCUGUCUUAUUUGCCACUGAUUCAUUACUGCUAGACUCAGGACUAUUCUAACUGUUGCUGCUUUCACCACUGGACUGAAAGUCUCAAAGUAGUUCACUCCUUCUAUUUGCUGAAAUCCUUUAGCAACCAACCUUGCCUUAUAUUUUGCAACACUUCCAUCAGUAUUUGAUUUCACUCGAAAUACCCAUUUGUUGCCAACAAGUUUGUGAUGUUCUGUUCUUGGCACAAGUGUCCAGGUACCAUUUGACAUUAGUGCAUCAUAUUCAGCUUUCAUUACUUGAAACCAUCUCUCAUCAUUGAUAGCCUCCUGAACUGUAUCUGGUUCUUUAUGCAACAAUACUGCAGUAUAUACCUUUGGCUUAAAGAUACCUGCUUUCCCUCUAGUGAUCAUGGGGUGUUGGUUUAGUGAUGGUGAGGUUGUCAUUGUUUGAUUGAGAUGAGGGAUAUUGUUAUUGUGUUGGUUUUGUGAAUUUUCAUUUGAGGGCUGUUCUAAUGUUGUGUCAGGUAUAGAAGGUAACAUUAUAGGUGCAGAUGGAUUAUUUCUGUCUGUGUUUGAGGGUUGUUGAUCUGUUACCUGUGUUGAGACUACUGUUGAAGGAAAAAUGUUGCCACUGGAGUAUGCUUGAGAGAAAGAUUCAUUGCUGGUGACUGAAAAAUCUGUUAUGACAGGUAAUGUUGAUAACUGGAAAACUUGUAUAGGAGUAAUUGUGCAAUAUGUAUCAGACUUAGAUUUAUUUGAAUUAUGAAAGCUAGGAUCAGCUGCAAAUGGAUAAGAGUGUUCAUCAAAGACAACAUGCCUAGCUAUAUAUAUAUGUCCAGAGGGGUGAUAACACUUGUAGCCUUUAUGAGAUGGACUAUAACCAAGAAAAAUGCAUUUGGUUGUGUGAUAGUCAAACUUGUGCUUAUUGUAAUCUCUCAGAUAUGGAUAACAAGCACAUCCAAAGCAUUUCAGCAUUUUAUAAUCAGCCUUGUGUUUAUAAAGCUUUUCAUAUGGAGUAGACAUCUUAAGUGCAGAAGUAGGGAGUCUAUUAAUGUGAUAGACUGAGGCAUGAAAAGCAUCCCACCAGAAUUGAAAAGGGAGUUUGGCUUGAGCUAGAAGUGUCAGUCCUAAUUCUACAAUUUGUCUGUGUUUUCUUUCAACAAGUCCAUUCUGAUGAUGAGUGUAAGGGCAAGAGUGUCUAAAGAGAAUGCCACAUUCAUUUAGAAAGGCAGUAAAUGGUCUGUAUUCUCCCCCCCAGUCAGAUUGUAGAAUUUUGAUAGAAGUUUGAAAUUGUUUUUCAACUUGAAGUUUGAACAGCUUGAACACUUCUAGAGCUUCUGAUUUAAGUUUCAAAGGAUAAAUCCAGGUGUAUCUGGUAUGAUCAUCCACAAAGCUAAUGUAAUAUCUAAAGCCAUCUCUAGAAUAUGCUGGUGAGGGACCCCAUAGAUCAGUGUGAACAAGUUCUAGAGCUGAUGUGGAUUUGAUAUCAGUGAUUGGAAAAUGAAGUUUAUGAAAUUUUCCUAGUUGACAUGCUUCACAGAAAUGCUUUGUAGCUUGAUUAACAAUAUUUGUAGAGCACAAAUUGGGAUGCACAAGCUUAAGCAAAUGAAUUAGACUUUGAGUAUUAGGAUGACCAAAUCGUUUGUGGAGUAAAGACAUUUUAUUGAAUGAAUUAGUGCUACAAGUAUUCUUAUUUGACUGAAAACAUUUUCCAGAACAAGAACUAUUAACUGAAGUGCUGAAAUAACACUGAGAUAGCAUGGACACAGGCUUAUUUAUUGAGCUCUGAGAUAGAAAAGAGGUAAAUGUAGAUUGUGAUGAUGAACUCAGCUGCAAUUUGUAUAAACCUUUCUCAGCAAUACCCAGUAGCAGAAUUUUCCCUUUCAGUAUAUCCUUCACAAAGCAAACAGAACCAAGGAAUUCAACAGAUAAGUCAUUAUCAGUGGUCAGUCUAGAAACACUUAUUAAAUUCUUUGUAAUAGAUGGAACAAGCAGUAUAUCUUUAAGUGCAAUGCAUGUACUUGCAUAUUGUAUUUUAGAGCUUUGAAUUGUAAGAUUGGCAUUACCAACAUGUGUGAUUGACAAACCUUUACCAUCACCAAUGAUAAGCUUGUCAUUACCUCUAAACUCAUUGCUGACAUGCAUAUUUGCCAUACUAUUUGUUAGAUGAUGUGUAGCUCCACUGUCAAGGUACCAUCCUUCAUCUGUUGGUCCUUCAAAGUUAGCAGCAUAAGCAGCUCCAGCUCCACUCACAGGUGAGCUCAUUGAGUCAGAUAUGUAUGAAGAAUAUGGUGUAUUAUACACGUGAGGUAUCCCUGAAUAAUCAGCUGCAGCAGGCCAUGAAUCUUCAGUAGGUGCAUUAAAAUAUGUCAUAUAGGCUGAUCUCUGAUUUCUUCCUCUUUUCAUGUGUUGAGGUAUAUAAUUUUCUUCAAACCUAUGCCAACAUUCUACUGCUGUGUGUCCAGAUUUAAAACAGAUCUGACAAACAACAGUCUGUUCCUCAUUACCAUCAGAAUUCGACAAACCAGAAUUAACACUAUAUUGUCCUCUCAUGAAUUGUGCCUGCUUAUUAUUGUUUCCAAUCAUUUGACCUCUGCCAAGAUUAUUACCAAGAUUUCCAGAUCCAGAGGGAAAGCCUCUUGGAUGAGAAUUGAUAAACAUUCCUCUUCCAGUAUGAAAAUUGUUUCUUCCAAAUUGAUUUCCACCAUGAAAUCCUCCAUUAUAUCCACCUCUUCGAGCACUACCUCUUGUUUGAGCAUAAUAAGCAUUCAUCAUACCAUAGCCAUUAUUAUUAUGAGAAACAUUAGCAAGAUUUGCAUUGAACAUCUGUUUUUCAUUUAGACUCUGUUCUAAUCUUGUUUCAUGCGUGAGCAGCAAUGCAUAGGAAUCAUCAAAAUCUAGCUUACUAGCAGUAAUGAAAGUUGCUAAAUCUAGAUAGCCUGGUCCAAGACCAUUAAGGAUCUGUUGUAACAGAUCUUUGUCAGAAACUGGACUACCAGCACAGGCUAAUUUAUCUGCUAUUUGUUUCAUUUUCAAACAAUAAUCUUCUACAUUUAGUGAAUCUUUUCUCAAAACACUCAUCUCAUAUUUGAGUUGAAGAACUCUAGCUUCAGAUUUUGCACCAAACUUUUUCUCCAAUGUUUUCCACACAUCAUAUGCAGUAUUACAAGAAUGAACAUGACUGAGAAUACCUUCAGUGAUUGAGCUUAAUAGCCAGCUUAGUAAUGUCUGAUCCUGUGACCUCCAGAUUAUAUAUUCUGGAUUUUCAACUUGUUGUGUAACUCUUCCCAUUGUUUCAGCAUAGCUUCCUGAAGUAAGAAAUUGAGUAGGUGCUGCCUUUUCUCCAUUGAUGUAGCCUUCAAGUCUGUUUCCUCUUAUAGAAGCUAAUACUUGAUUUCGCCAGAGCAUAUAAUUGGAUCUAUCCAAUUUGAUUGGCGUAAUGAAUGAGAAGGUAGUUUGUAUUGAUUGAUUCAUGUUUGUUGUGUUUGGAUUUGUGUUUAAAUUGCUUGAGCUUACCAUAUUUCUGGCUCUGAUACCAUGUAAAAAUGAGUUGCAAAUACUGUUUGGUUACUGAGAAACAGAGAGAAAAUUGAUAAAUAUUCUAGAUCUUAUUAUUUCAUUAAUUACAAAUGAGUAAAUCACAAGUCUUUAUACUUGCAUUUCAUUAGUAAAAGCUAUUAACGAAACUGAUCUGUAUUAACUAACUAAUACUAACUAACUAAUCACGCGAACUCUCAUUGCUGCAUAACAGAAUCAGCUGACUCAGCAUUGUUGACGUGGCAUUGCUGACGCACCUUAGCUUCUGACUUCUUCUCUCUUCUCAGCUCAGCACAAUGAGCUUUCUUCACAAACCAGAGUUAUAGGAUGGCUCAAGAUUUCUUCAAUGCACAUAUUACCCCUUUACAGGUAAUUAUAAUUAAUUAAGUUCUCGAUUACCAUUAAUUUUAUUUUAUUUUUUUCCAUUAAUUUCUAGAAAUUAAGAUUUAUUAGAACUCUAAAGUUAAAUUCUGAUUAAAAUUUUAAUUUUUAACGUACACAUUCCUCUUUAUAAUUAUGACCGUACGUAAUUUUAUAGCAGAGGAUAAUUCCUACCCAUUAAUUAAGCUAACCCACACGCCCAUGGAACAAUGAAGAAGUAGCUAAUAAAGUAAAAACACUGUAUUAGAUUCGGAAAACCAAGUUUCAAAUCUUCUUUUCAAAAAUAUUCUUCGUCUUUAUCUUUAUUGCGUGCCUUUGUGCUUUUUUUUUUCUAUUUAUUUAUUUUUCUUGUUUACAGUCUGGAUGUUGUAAGCCUCCGACAGAGUGUGGUUACACAUUUGUAAACCCAACAUAUUGGAUAAGUCCAAUUAACAACGCGGCGGACAUGGAUUGCCUACAGUGGAGCAAUGACCAAAUGCAGCUUUGCUAUAAUUGUGAUUCAUGCAAAGCAGGAUUACUUGCUAAUCUGAAAAAGGAGUGGAGAAGAGUAGAUAUCAUAUUACUCGUUACUCUUGUUGCUUUGAUAUGGGUUUAUCUGAUUGGAUGUUGUGCUUUUAGGAACGCCAAAACUGAAGACCUCUUUCGCAAGUACAAGCAAGGCACUUACACGUAAUUGUUAGCUGCACGUAAACUCUCUUUGAUAGUAAUAUUAAUGUGUAAUUAGGGACUGGCUUGAAUUGUUAUUUUGAUAAUUUUAUGAAUUUUUUGUUUAAGAUCCGUCUUCUUGGUUACUUACAUUUGGUUAAAUUAUGUGUGGGGUUUGAUUUGAUGACGACAUAAUCUUGAGUUGUGCGUGCGUGAUUUGUGGAGGGCGCCGAAAGUAGGUGGCUUUUGAAUAUUUGCUUUUUAAGGAGAAGGGAUUUCGCACUUCCGCUCCCUGCUUGCUCGCAUAGGGCAUUAAUUGUAGCUUUGAAAAAAGUUCUGCUUCAGCAUGCGCAAAAGUCAAAGAAAUGGGACAUGUGCUCAUGCAUUAUGCAGCCAGCAUAUGGGUGAUAGCAGACGUAUUUAAUCUUUUAGUCUUUGUUGACAACUCAGCCUCUCUCUCUCUCUCUCUCUCUCUCUCUCUCUCUCUCGCUGUGUCUCUGCGUCAGGGAUCUGAUUUGUGGGAAGAUAGAUAUCGGUUUAAAAGGUUUUCAUAUGCAUCCUUGGAACUUUGUAAGGUUUACAUGGAAAUUUCUUCCUCUUCCAGUGGCCGUCGAGAACUCUUUGCUGCUGAGAUGCACCUGAAGAACGUCCUUAAACAAGUAAAACACCUUAUAAUUCGAUAUUUAAGACACUUACAGUUGGUUUAAAGAUUGCAUUUUCCGUUUCUGUUUUUGACUGGUUCA
rnacentral:lncRNA from 1 species